rnacentral:rRNA from 1 species
GAUGAACGCUGGCGGCGUGCCUAAUAUAUGCAAGUCGAGCGAACAGACGAGGAGCUUGCUCCUCUGACGUUAGCGGCGGACGGGUGAGUAACACGUGUAUAACCUACCUAUAAGACUGGGAUAACUUCGGGAAACCGGCGCUUAUACCGUAUAAUAUAUUGAACCGCAUUGUUCAAUAGUGAAUUACGGCUUUGCUGUCACUUCUCGAUGGAUCCGCGCCGCAUUAGCUAGUUGGUAAGGUCACGGCUUACCAAGGCAACGAUGCGUAGACGACCUGAGGGAGGGAUAGGCCACACUGGAGCUGGGACAGGGUCAAGACUACUAAGAGAGGCAGCAGUAGGGAAUGUGCGGCAAUGGGCGAGAGCAUGACGGAGCGACGGCAAGUGAGUGAUGAAGGUCUUGGGAUCGUAAUAAUCUGUUAUUAGGGAAGAACAAAUGUGUAAGUAACUAUGCACGUCUUGACGGUAACUAGUCAGAAAGCAACGGCUAACUACGUG